AUGAACGCUAGCUACAGGCUUAACACAUGCAAGUCGAGGGGCAGCAUGGUCUUAGCUUGCUAAGGCCGAUGGCGACCGGCGCACGGGUGAGUAACACGUAUCCAACCUGCCGUCUACUCUUGGACAGCCUUCUGAAAGGAAGAUUAAUACAAGAUGGCAUCAUGAGUCCACAUGUUCACAUGAUUAAAGGUAUUCCGGUAGACGAUGGGGAUGCGUUCCAUUAGAUAGUAGGCGGGGUAACGGCCCACCUAGUCUUCGAUGGAUAGGGGUUCUGAGAGGAAGGUCCCCCACAUUGGAACUGAGACACGGUCCAAACUCCUACGGGAGGCAGCAGUGAGGAAUAUUGGUCAAUGGGCGAGAGCCUGAACCAGCCAAGUAGCGUGAAGGAUGACUGCCCUAUGGGUUGUAAACUUCUUUUAUAAAGGAAUAAAGUCGGGUAUGCAUACCCGUUUGCAUGUACUUUAUGAAUAAGGAUCGGCUAACUCCGUGCCAGCAGCCGCGGUAAUACGGAGGAUCCGAGCGUUAUCCGGAUUUAUUGGGUUUAAAGGGAGCGUAGAUGGAUGUUUAAGUCAGUUGUGAAAGUUUGCGGCUCAACCGUAAAAUUGCAGUUGAUACUGGAUAUCUUGAGUGCAGUUGAGGCAGGCGGAAUUCGUGGUGUAGCGGUGAAAUGCUUAGAUAUCACGAAGAACUCCGAUUGCGAAGGCAGCCUGCUAAGCUGCAACUGACAUUGAGGCUCGAAAGUGUGGGUAUCAAACAGGAUUAGAUACCCUGGUAGUCCACACGGUAAACGAUGAAUACUCGCUGUUUGCGAUAUACGGCAAGCGGCCAAGCGAAAGCGUUAAGUAUUCCACCUGGGGAGUACGCCGGCAACGGUGAAACUCAAAGGAAUUGACGGGGGCCCGCACAAGCGGAGGAACAUGUGGUUUAAUUCGAUGAUACGCGAGGAACCUUACCCGGGCUUAAAUUGCAGAUGAAUUACGGUGAAAGCCGUAAGCCGCAAGGCAUCUGUGAAGGUGCUGCAUGGUUGUCGUCAGCUCGUGCCGUGAGGUGUCGGCUUAAGUGCCAUAACGAGCGCAACCCUUGUUGUCAGUUACUAACAGGUUCCGCUGAGGACUCUGACAAGACUGCCAUCGUAAGAUGUGAGGAAGGUGGGGAUGACGUCAAAUCAGCACGGCCCUUACGUCCGGGGCUACACACGUGUUACAAUGGGGGGUACAGAGGGCCGCUACCACGCGAGUGGAUGCCAAUCCCCAAAACCUCUCUCAGUUCGGACUGGAGUCUGCAACCCGACUCCACGAAGCUGGAUUCGCUAGUAAUCGCGCAUCAGCCACGGCGCGGUGAAUACGUUCCCGGGCCUUGUACACACCGCCCGUCAAGCCAUGGGAGCCGGGGGUACCUGAAGUGCGUAACCGCGAGGAGCGCCCUAGGGUAAAACUGGUGACUGGGG
rnacentral:rRNA from 1 species